AUGUUGGACUCAGAAGAGUGUACUUUGUCCCUGGAUAACUUGUUCUUUGAGAGGCCAGUUGUCCACAAAGUAAAUCCACUUUGUCAAGAGCAGAGUUCUUGGCAGUUGGAACCCCCUCCAUCCCUCUCCCAGAUUCCAGCCACUCAGGACAUCCAAAAAGAGGCAGAGGAUCUUUCAUCAUUCAGUUUCUCUCAGAGGUCCAAGAAAUUCAUUCCCCCUUUGAAAAGAACAGUCGGCAGUGAUGGUUUCAUAGAAAAUAACACAGAUUUUAAACAAAUUACCAGUGAUGGAGGAAAAGAACCUGAGGGCCAGGGCGGGUGUGCUCUCUGGUCUCAGGAAGACUUCAUGAACAAGUCCCAGUGUUCCACAAUAGUCAGCAGAGGUCGAACUGAAACCCCACAGGAGUCUGGUCAUGCGCUGGAGCAGAAACAUUUUCCUCUGGACUUCAGCCAAAGCCCACCUGUACGGAGAAGUUUGUUCAAACCUCUCAUUGGUCAGGUGGUGAACAGUGGUGCAGACCUGAACACCCGCCACAGCCAGACAAGACCCAGAGAGCAGCAAACCUUCAACCAGGUUUCCAUGGCGACAGAGCCUCGACUGGCAAGACAGUCAGCAGCAGGCCCCAGCCCCCUCAGCGGGCUGGGUCCGGCUGCAGCCCGGGGACCCCCACCGCUUACACUGGACAAGGGCACCAAGAGGGCUAACGUCCUCCCCAUGACACCCCAGCCCCUUCAGAUACAAGGUAGACAGACAGACAGAAAUUAUAUAUACAGUGCCUUGCGAAAGUAUUCGGCCCCUUUGAACUUUGCGACCUUUUGCCACAUUUCAGGCUUCAAACAUAAAGAUAUAAAACUGUAUUUUUUUGUGAAGAAUCAACAACAAGUGGGACACAAUCAUGAAGUGGAACGACAUUUAUUGGAUAUUUCAAACUUUUUUAACAAAUCAAAAACUGAAAAAUUGGGCGUGCAAAAUUAUUCAGCCCCUUUACUUUCAGUGCAGCAAACUCUCUCCAGAAGUUCAGUGAGGAUCUCUGAAUGA
rnacentral:lncRNA from 13 species